CACAGCAAUGUGGAGGUACCAAACUGUGUUAACGGUUUUCUUCAUCCUGAACCCGGUCACCCAGAUAACCACUCCAUUCCCGAGCAUACCGAGGACAGAGACCAGGGAGAAAACAACAGCAUCCACGGUGAAACCUGUAAUAUCAAGAAAACAAAAAGAAAAGAAUAGAGACAUCAGGCUAGCUGGGUUAACAAGCUACCGCACCGACUGAGUCUUUAUGAAAAAAGGUAAGAGUCAUGGCGGGGAAGUGUGUGUUUACAUCAUUGACGCUUGGUGCUAAAAUGCUACUGUUGUGCACAAACACUGUCCUCCACUGGCAGAGUUUAUUAUCAUUGAGAAGAAAGGCAAGACCAUCAGACCCUGCAUAGAAUAUAUUGCAUUUGUUCACAUCUCCUUUUGAGUAAUUACAGGGAGCAACCAUCUUCAGUAAACUGGACAUGCAGAGUGCUUACCAUUUGGUAAGAGUAAAGGAAGCGGAUGAGUGGAUAAAUACCUCCACCAGGAAGACGAACUCAGCCGGCCUCACCUCUGCCAUUUUGAGUAUCUGGUGAUACCUUUUGGUCUUUCGAAUGUCCCCUCUGUGUUUCAGUCCCUCGUGAAUAACGUCCUCCAUGACUUCAUUAAUCACUUUGUCUUCGUCGACAUGCUUAUGUUUUUGAAAUCAGCCCAAGAACAUGAAACCCACGUCAGGCAAGUGCUACAAUGUUUGUUGGGGAAUAAACUUUUUGUCAAUGGAAAAAAAUAUGAAUUUCCUAUUGACACAGCUUCCUUCUUGUGCUACAGAGUAGAGAAAGGCAACCUCAAACCAGAGCCUGCAAAAGUGCAGGUAGUAGUAGACUUGCCAGUCCAUCUAACCACAUGCAUCUCCAAUGUUUCCAGAGUUUUGUUAACUUGUAUCACUGUUUCAUCUGAGAUUUCAGCAAAAUUGCCUUACUCUUAACACAUCUAACCUCUCCAAGAAGUCUCUUUCCAGUGGAAUCCUUCAGCAUAGUCAGUGUUUGAUCUCCUGAAGAAAUGUUUCGCCACCACUCCAGUCCUGUCCCAGCCUGAUAUUAACUGCUAAUUUAUCAUCGAAGUGGAUGCCUCAGACUCUGAUAUGAGAGCAGUCCUCUCUCAGUAACGGGAAACUGCAUCCAUGUGCUAAUUUCUCCUAGUUGUCUCCUUGAUUGCAGUGGGUAUGCCGAUCGCAACAGAACCCCUGCACCAACUUACACCAAAGGCCAGGUUUGGUUCUCUACUCAGUAAUUGGGAGUACACUCUCCCAGUUUGAUUGGACCAUGUGAAAUAGAGUCUAUGGACAACCCGGUUUUGUGCAUUUGAAGCUGCUUCUCAAUAUGCAAACUCAUAAUGCGUUCCGUGUAUCUCAACUAAAACCACUCUACAUUCUGGUGAAAUCACUGUAAAGUGCACUAAACUGUGAUUCAGUUCCAGUUCAGUUCCACACUGAUCACUAGAAUGUAGACCAUGACAAAUGUGUUCAUAUAGACCAUAUUUAUGGUGUAUCACACUCAGGGGUAGAGAUGUUGCAAAGAUGAAGUCAGCUACAGCAAGGUUGAGGUACUGAAAUGUACUGACUGUUUUCUUCAUCUUGAUCCUGGUCUCAGAUAUCCACUCGAUUCCAGAGCACGCCAAGGCAAGAGACCAGGGAGAAAACAACAAUACGCAUGUUGGUGAGAGACUGAAACAACUCAGCAUACACAGAGCCAUUUGGAUCAGGUGCAGCAGUUAUAUUGAUUUGACUGAAAGAGUUAAUUGUCAUAUCCAUCAUAGUCUUGAGACCAAUGAAGAUGAUAUAAAGAAACAAUAUAAAUGUCUGUAAAUCUUUAAUAUUUCUACUGUAAUGCUUGCAGACUAGAGAUUUUCUAUAUGAGCACAGAUUUAGGCACUGAAGGUUGUCUAGGCCUUCAUACUGUGGAGCUAAGAAAGAAGCAAAGAAGAGUAGAAAUUAUCAUAAAUUAAUGACAUAAAAUAACAAAAUUCAGAAAACCAGAAGUUUUCGCUCUUGAGAUGAAAAAUAACAAUACAGGAGUGUACUACGAAGUGAUUUACAUGUGUGCGACAUGUGGGGACAGUGUUAAAACAGUGACGUAUGAUAUUACUGAAGUCAUCUUUGAGUGGAGUAAGAAAAGAAGAACAUGUACACUUUCUCUUUGUUUGUCCUCCUGAACAGCAUGUUGGUGUAAUUUCACAAUAUGUAGACAUAAGCAUUAAAAUGCAAGUAUGAAAACAAGUUGAUGACCAAAACUUUAGAAAGCCUAUUUUGUAAACAUUUUAAAUAUUUUAUAAGCACUCAUAUACCAUAAUAUACAACCUUGAUGAGUGUCACUGAUGUCUGCAGUUAGUUUCUGCCAUAACAAUAAGAAAAUGUUUGCAUAUAUUCCUGGUUUGGAUACAGCUCUUUUUAUCGCUAUUCUGUAAAGUUCUUUUUAUUGCCAUUGUUUUUGUGUUUUUUUUCAAAGGUACUUUUAGCCCUUUUCAAAAACUGAUUGUCAUUAACUUUCUACGACAAAAUUCUAAUAACCAACAAAGUAUCCUUUAUCAGUCUUUAUGUAAAUUGGUUUAUGGAUAUUGUCAUCCUUUGAUUUUUUAUGUUAUGUUUUUAUUCCUUUGUGAAAAUCUUUUCACUUUUUAAUUUUGAAAGGGAGUAUGUGAUUACCCAUAACACAAAGUUUUCAAAAACUGAGAAAUUCUCAGCUGCUCUAAAGAGACAGAGACAGAAAAACGAUUGUUGUGUUGUCAUUAAUGUACCAUGCAACUUGUUAUAGCGAAAAAUUACCGCAUCCUGUUUUGCCAUCUUGCUUGAAAUUUCUUGUUAACUCUUACAGUCAUCAAUGUUCUUCUUGUGCUUGGUCAGUGUUAAGUUUUGAAAGACGUUUGGGACCAUGAGAUAUACACUGUGUGGCAUUGCUUAUUGACAAUAACACAGCCUAACAAUACCAAAUUUUUUUCAAUUUUCUUUAAGGUAAAUUUAACUUAAAACUUAAAUAUCUCUUCACUCCAUUAUAUAUUCCAUAUGUACAGGGAAUAACACCCUUUGGUCAUGGUGCAUGGAUGAUACUUUAAGACAAUCCUGCCAGCCUGGCCAUGCCCCACGGCUUACCUAUAAAACAGCUGUGCGGCGAUGGUUUGAUCAGAAUGCUUCACCAGUCAGCCAGAUGCAAGACUGGCCUGAACGAGUCCCACAAGUUGCGAGGACCGCAACAGAGCGGGCUGCUUAUGGUCAAAAACCGCUACUGCUUAUGGUUUAUGUCUCUGUGUUUCUUAGUUGCUGUCUCCACUGUGCCAAGUUCGCGUCUCUGUGUCAUACUUCCUGUUUUACUUUGAAGGUCCGUGUCUUAUG